rnacentral:rRNA from 1 species
AUUGAACGCUGGCGGCAGGCUUAACACAUGCAAGUCGAGCGGGGGAAGGUAGCUUGCUACUGGACCUAGCGGCGGACGGGUGAGUAAUGCUUGGGAAUCUGCCUAUUAGUGGGGGACAACAUCUCGAAAGGGAUGCUAAUACCGCAUACGUCCUACGGGAGAAAGCAGGGGAUCUUCGGACCUUGCGCUAAUAGAUGAGCCUAAGUCGGAUUAGCUAGUUGGUGGGGUAAAGGCCUACCAAGGCGACGAUCUGUAGCGGGUCUGAGAGGAUGAUCCGCCACACUGGGACUGAGACACGGCCCAGACUCCUACGGGAGGCAGCAGUGGGGAAUAUUGGACAAUGGGGGGAACCCUGAUCCAGCCAUGCCGCGUGUGUGAAGAAGGCCUUAUGGCUGUAAAGCACUUUAAGCGAGGAGGAGGCUACUUUAGUUAAUACCUAGAGAUAGUGGACGUUACUCGCAGAAUAAGCACCGGCUAACUCUGUGCCAGCAGCCGCAGUAA